GCCGAUUUUCAAGAACGCGAAUCUUAUGAUAUGGUGGGAAUCUCUUAUGAUAAUCAUCCGCGCCUUAAACGUAUCCUAAUGCCUGAAAGUUGGAUAGGCUGGCCCUUACGUAAGGAUUAUAUAACCCCCAAUUUUUAUGAAAUACAAGAUGCUCAUUGA
rnacentral:rRNA from 1 species